rnacentral:tRNA from 1 species
GGGUGUGUAGCUCAGCUGGUUAGAGCGCUAUCCUGAUAAGAUAGAGGUCCUUGGUUCGAGUCCAAGCUCACCCA